AGUGAACGCUGGCGGUAGGCCUAACACAUGCAAGUCGAACGGCAGCACAGUAAGAGCUUGCUCUUACGGGUGGCGAGUGGCGGACGGGUGAGGAAUACAUCGGAAUCUACUUUUUCGUGGGGGAUAACGUAGGGAAACUUACGCUAAUACCGCAUACGACCUACGGGUGAAAGCAGGGGAUCUUCGGACCUUGCGCGAUUGAAUGAGCCGAUGUCGGAUUAGCUAGUUGGCGGGGUAAAGGCCCACCAAGGCGACGAUCCGUAGCUGGUCUGAGAGGAUGAUCAGCCACACUGGAACUGAGACACGGUCCAGACUCCUACGGGAGGCAGCAGUGGGGAAUAUUGGACAAUGGGCGCAAGCCUGAUCCAGCCAUACCGCGUGGGAGAAGAAGGCCUUCGGGUUGUAAAGCCCUUUUGUUGGGAAAGAAAAGCAGCAGGUUAAUACCCCGCUGUUCUGGCGGUACCCAAAGAAUAAGCACCGGCUAACUUCGUG
rnacentral:rRNA from 1 species